rnacentral:rRNA from 1 species
UACGGAGGGGGCGAGCGUUAUUCGGAAUUAUUGGGCGUAAAGGGCGCGUAGGCGGCUUGACAAGUCAAAGGUGAAAUCCCUCGGCUCAACUGAGGAACUGCCUUUGAAACUGUCUGGCUUGAGGCCGGGAGGGGGUAGCGGAAUUCCCAGUGUAGCGGUGAAAUGCGUAGAUACUGGGAGGAACACCAGUGGCGAAGGCGGCUACCUGGACCGGUUCUGACGCUCAGGCACGAAAGCAUGGGGAGCAAAAGGG